rnacentral:lncRNA from 1 species
UCACUUCCUCCCAAGCCUGGCGUUUGGUUGGUGAGGACUUGCAGGUUCCCCCUGCAUAUCGGGAAGUGUGAGUUUUUGUUCAGGGUGCAUCUACCUGGGGCCAUGGCAUAAUGUUCAUCUGCAAUGAUUGUAAGGUGUUCAGAUUUUGUAAAUCCAAAUAAAACUGUUUUAAAGAACACAAUCCUCAGCCGGGCAUGGUGGCUCAUGCCUGGAAUCCCAGCACUUUGGGAGGCCGAGGCGGGCGGAUCACGAGGUCAGGAGAUCGAGACCAUCCUGGCCAACACAGUGAAACCCCGUCUCCACUAAAAUAAUACAAAAAAAUUAGCCGGGCAUGGUGGCGGGCGCCUGUAGUCCCAGCUACUCGGGAGGCUGGGGCAGGAGAAUGGCAUGAACCUGGUAGGCAGAGCCUGCAGUGAGCUGAGAUCGCGCCACUGCACUCCAGCCUGGGCGACAGAGCAAGACUCUGUCUCAAAAAAAAAAAAAAAAAAAAAAAAUCUCUCUCUCCUACAUUGCUGUCUGCAAAACAAUGGAGGUUAUGGAUGUUAGAUUGCAUCUCGAUGUUAAACCUUUGCUAAUGUACUUAUGGGAAUCACAAAGAUUCUGUUUGUAAAUACAGAAGUGAAUUGUAGACAUAAAAUGGUUGUGCCAUGUGGAUAAUGGCAGGCACUAGGUGACAUUUAUGUAGUAACUAAUGACAAAAAUUCAUGGCUAGUGGCAUAUAAAAUACUCUUUGCAGUAAAAUAUUUCCUUGAUUAAUGUUAUAGAAGGGGGACAUAACAAGGAACUCACAGUUGGUGUGGCAGCUAGCCUCAAAGACUGUCUUUCAUUUGGUUUCAGCACCUCCUGUUUGGGGUUAUUAGCAUCUUAGAAGAGCACGGUGGCCUUGUCUGAUGAAGCCGAAUUGUGCUGGUCUGUUCCGAGCUGGUUUAAGUGUUCUGAUGGGCAGCUGUGGAUGUUGGGGUUCAGAGCUUAGUCAUCGUUGCCUGAAAUGGCACUAGACUCUACAAUUUCUGCCUUGGAGAACACUCAGUUCUUACUUGUGAUUUCUGGUAGAACAAGCUUUAUUUUUCUAGCCUAGUAAUGAUCUUGAAGCAGAGGAAUCCCAGUGCCUUUUAAGAAUUGUGUUGGCCGGUGCGGUGGCUCACGCCUGUAAUCCCAGCACUUCUGGAGGCCGAGGCUGGAAGAUUACUUGAGCCCAGGAGUUUGAGACCAGCCUGGGCAACAUAGACCUCAUUUCUACAAAAAUUAAAAAAUAAUAAAAAUUUGUUGUGUGGUUUUUUAAAAAAGCUACUAAUUGUUUUUGGGAAAUAGAAUUUAUGGGU